rnacentral:rRNA from 4 species
UCGGAUCAGUCGUGAUUACCCGCUGAACUUAAGCAUAUCAAU